GCCAGCAGCCAUAUCACCCCGCAACCCAUUGAAGCUCAGCAGGUGUGACCCUGGUCAGUACCUGGAUGGGAGACCUCCUGGGAAAAACUAAGGUUGCUGCUGGAA
rnacentral:rRNA from 1 species